GCCAGGCAUGGUGGCGCAUGCCUGUAAUCCCAACUCGGGAGGCUGAGGCAGGAGAAUCGCUUGAAUCCAGGAGGUAGAGAUUGCAGUGAGCUGAGAUCACACCACUGCACUCCAGCUUGGACAACAGAGCGAGAUUCUGUCUCAA
rnacentral:SRP_RNA from 1 species